UUAUAUUUUUUUAGUAUCUAUUUGACAUUAAGUUGUAAAUUUUAUGAAUUAGUUUAUCAUUAUAUGUUCACAUGAUUAAUUUGUUACACUUUUUGUAUGUUUGAAGAUUUAAUUUAAAUUUUUUAUUGACCAAUUUAUCAUUGUUUCAUAUUUUCAGAUCACAAUUUACCCUAAAUAAUAUCUAUAUAAGAGAAAAUUAUUUUUAUUCAAACAAUUUUUCUUUUGUAAAUUCAAACCAUUUUUAUUGAAUUAUUUAUUUUCACAUUUAAUAAGUAAAACAUACCAAAAAUAAGUUAAUGCAAUAAAAGUAAACGCCUUUUAUCGUGGGCGACUUCAUUGGGUGACCCAACUUGGGAAACAUUGUGCUGUGGUUGCAUGAAUCCCAAUUUAAUCUGACGGUUAGGAAUAAAGAAGAUUACCCUUCGCUAAAUAUGUGAUUUUGAGCGUUAAUGAUGAGGAUUUUAGAAAAUGUUAAAAUAUUUUUCAUGUCUACUGUCACCAAUACAAGUAAGUUGAUUUCCACUUGGAUUCAAACAGUGUGUGGUCUUCGAAUUAGGGUCGGUAAAGGUUGGAGGCAUCCAUGGGUAUUUGAAUUUGGUUGUUGGAAAAAAAAAAUUCCCUUGCUGAUUUUUAGCAUCCGUGAUGGCAGUGCUAUGCGGUCAUGCUUAGUGGCAUUUGCUAUUUAGCUGCAGUAAUUUCUGAUUUGUGGGUUGUGCCGUAGCCUUGGUGAUUUGGGAGAAAAGGGCAGCAAUGGUCGUCCUGAUGGUAGAGCAUAUUCACACCACACUGUACUUUUGUUUCCAGUGUGGCGUUUUGAUGCAUAGGCAAAAUUGUAGACAGUGACUCUGAAUUUUUCGGAUGCAAUUAUGUGGAUUAAGAGCGAGUGCAAGUGGUAUUGCUUUAUCAGUGCAUAUUAAAGUGGAUAAUUUUGACCGUUUGCAUUAACAAUUCAAUCGCCAGUUACAUUUUACACGAACAAUUGUACAGGCGGCAUUGAUAUUCUUUCAUGUAUUUAGUUUAUGUGUAUCAUUUGGGAGAGGUUCGGGGAGCAGGAGCAGCCUUUUUGGUUGGUUCGUUGGUUUUUGAAGUCGUGGCUGAUGAAAGAGGUACAUGUGAGUGAGGGCUGGUGUUGGUUUCUCAGCUGUGUGCUUUUUAUUAUAUUGGUGCAGUUGAAUUAAUUAGUAACAAAGAUUUGCUGAAAAAAAAAGAAAUUAGUAAGAAAGAUCCAUUGGUGAAGCGGUGAAAGAAGGAGAUAUUGAAAUGUGAGUGUCAGUUAAAUUGAGUUUUAUUUAGUUGUUGGUUUAUAAUCUUGUAUCUUUGUUACAUAUAUAUUGUAUUGAAUGUUGAUUAAAUCGGUGUCAAUUGGUUUUGGUUUUCAUACAGUUUUUGAUAAAGUGUUUUCCAUUUUACAGGCAUGAUGUUUUGUUUUUCUGAGGGUUGCAUGUUAUGGAGGCUUACAAUUAAGUUUUUUGGAGCAAAUUUUAUUUUAUUUAUAAUUAUGUUCGGAAGCAUUUUUUGAGUAUAUGUUCAUCUGUUAUAUUUUAUAGGAAUAAAUUUGGUAUGAUGGAUGGUAAAUGCAACAAUUGAUUAGUGACGAAAUUUUAUGUUGAAUGGAUUGCAUUGUUAGGUAAUUGUAUUUCUUUUACACGCGAAGAUAAUUGUAUUUAGUAGGAGAAAAUGAUUUAUUUUAUUUUAGUUUGAAAAAAUUAUGAUGAAGUAAAAUAGCAACAUAAAAUAUAUAAGGUGGUUCGAUAUAUGGCCCAAUUUGAUCAUGCCAGAAUAAUAGGAAAUUGUUUAAGAUUUUCUUCCUACAUCAAAAAAUAUUCUAUACCCAAUACUUUUUUAAAUAUUCCAAAAUUAUCCCCUUUUGAAAUAUUUCAAAAUAUUUGGAUUUGUAAUCCGUAAGAAUUAUCCAGAUUGGCCAUAUGAUUCUUCCAGAUUAACAAUCCAUAUGAAUCAUAUGGAUUGUCAAUUUGUAUGAUUCUUAUGGAUUGUGAAUUCGUAAUGGCCUGAUCUCCUCGCCACCACCGCGUCGCAACACCGCUAUGCCAACUCCACCAUGUCGCAACACCACCACCUCCUUGUCACCGUCGCCGCCAUCUCUGCCCUCAAUGCCUCUGAGGCGGGGCUAGAUCCUGUGGCGCUCUCUGCCCUCGUGUCUUUCAUGGCCAUCGCCCUCCCUCUUAUCUCGCCCGGCGGCAUCACCGGCCUGGGAGGGGGAGGGAGUGGGCAUGGCGUGUGUGAAGUCCAUGAUGAAGUGGCGUGCGUGAGUUCCAUGGUCUUACAGAUUGACAAUCUGUAUAUGCUAUACAUAAGGGUGCUUUUGGUUUUCACUCUCACUGCUAGGUGUAGAAGAAAAAUGACAGGUGCAAGAAGAAAAUUCCAAAUUAUUUUGGGGUAUUUUGUGGUUUUAGUUAUUUGAGUUGCAAUUUUUGUUGAUAACUGUUGGGCCAUCAUGUUUGAUGAGACAAUUAUUUAACGCACCUUGUUGUUGGCUGGAUGCACCUUAUAAUUUUUUUAUAUUCCCAAAAUACCCUUAUUUGAUAGUAUGUAACCUUUGAUCCAACUCCUUCAUGCCUCAACUUCUUUGCAUGUCAUGUGCCUACUAUGUACAUUGAAUAUGUGUUUUGCUU